AAAUAUACAAAUAAAGUAUGUUGGAUGCGACUAAGCGUUCUCUAACUGUAAAAAUAAUUUGUGAGGCAAAAAAAGCUAUGAUAUGGAAAAUCUAUGAUAUAUAUUGAAAACACCAAUACCAUUAGGAAAUAAGUGGUAUGAGGUUGUUAUUUAUUUAGUUAGGGAUGUUAUAGACAGUGGUAAAUAAUAAUGAAUGUUUAUGCUUUGUGUCAGUGGUGUGACUGAUACUGUCUGGCUAUGUAGAGUAAAUAAAAUAUAUGUUAUCUCAAAUAACCUAUGUGACUGAAUCAGUGGAAGAUAGAAUGCAAAGAGUAAUGCAGAUAAUGUCUUAAUCUUUUCUGAUCAUCUCUUGUGCUCUGUACUCCUCAAAAUAAACACACUCUGGCUGAUUUUAUCAUUCUUUUUUAAUGGUAAGAUCCAUGGUUGCGUCUAUGUGUUAUAUGGUGUGUGGAGACCAAUGCACUCCCUGCACUGAUUCUGCCAUGACCACUUGCUCUAUGGUUGUUUUAAGGAACCUACAGACAAAUGAUGGAUUAUCAUUGGUGAAGAUCUUAGCUGGUAAGUCUCUGGGAAAAAGGCUAUAGACCUAUACAAAUAAUGCCCAAAGUUCUUGUCCUUUGGUGGGGUGUUUACUCAGAGGUAUUCAUUGUAUUAUAAAAUAAUGCAUAAAUGACUACAUCUAUAUACAGAAUUAAAAAAGAACAGGGAUGAGAGUGUGUUACACACCAAUAAUUAGAAUGAGUCCAAUCAGAACAUCUGUGGAAUUAUAUAUUUUUAAUAUCCCAAAACACUGAGUUUUAUGAAUAAAUUAAUAAAUCAGGAAUGUUCCUUCUUUUGGUAAGUAUCAUAUAGACAAAGAAUAGUAAUAGUCAACGUUUUUGUUCUGGGAGAAUGGUGAGUUCAAGUUUGUCUUGUUAAGAGAAACAAAUAAAUAAUUUCACAAAUUUAUCAAUACCUAAUUAUAAAUAGCUAAGCAAAUUAACGGGGGAAACAUGGAUCAAUUGAAAGAAUUUUUGAUAUUUUCACUCCCUUUUUGUAAGGAAUAUUCCUGCAUAUUUUGUG
rnacentral:lncRNA from 10 species